ensembl:lncRNA
AUUUGGCACUGCAGGGCAGUAAAGUGGAAAAUAACAGCUCAGGGACGGAAUCCUGUCCACCGCGGGCUUUUGUAAAUAACAUUUUAUUGGAAUACGCUUUCCUUGAUGUAUCAUCUCUGCUCACUUUUGUACACCACAUCAAAGAUAUGUAGUCGUAACAAAGACCUUAUGAGCCACUAAGACUAAAUUAUUGCCAUCUCCCCCUUUAUAGGUCAAGUUUGCUGACCGCGGCAUGAGGGUAUGGGCAAGACCUUCAGCAGCCCCUUCCUUCCUCAACUGCGGCUUUCAAUACCCUGGGAAAGUAUACAAGGACUUCAAGCCCGGGAGGCAGCAUCUCAAGAGACCCUGAGAGAACUGCUCCAAGGAGGCAAAGGAGGAGCUGGAUUAUAUAGAAGUUUUGCAACAAAGGGCAGAACCAGAUAUCCCAAGACUCAGUUCUAAGUGUUCUCCUGGCACCGCUGGUCCUCCUGAAGUCAGCCAGUGACGGAUUAACACGCAUGCUGCUUCCUCAUUCUGGUCUUCCCUGAGCCGGACUUCAUUCAGUUUCUCCAGCCUCCCCAGUGCUGCUCCUGUACUGCGGCUGCUGCUAAGUCACUUCAGUCGUG